AGAUUUUGAGACACGGCCAAUACAAAGCUAACUGUUAGCCUGUUAGCUUCGCACACAUCAGUAGCCUCAUAGUGGGUUAACAACACUUUCUCCUGACAUUCGUCACCAGCGUCCUCGUGUACGAGACAAACACGUUUUUUAACACAAACAAUUAUUUCUACACAAAGACUUAGGUCUGUAAGUGACCUCACAUUAAAUCUGGGACAAGAUGAGAGAUGUCGUUCUCUGUUGCUGGUGUACUUGUAUAAAAAAAAGUAGAAGAGCUCAUCCGGGAGUGCCAUUGUGGGAUUGCACAGAGAAAUGCUGUCUGCCAGAGGGAUGACCAACCAUGAGGACUUCUGUAUUGUCUUGGAGGAUGAGCGAGUCAUAGAAAGCCUAAAAUUGCUAAACUGGAUUUAUACAAGUAUUCCCCAAAUAAAAUCACCCAAAAACAAACGUAUAAUAUGUUUCUGACACAAAUUAACUGCCACAAACUUUUGGGGAAUUUUCACUGCAUUGACAGAUUGUGUUGCUAAUAUUUUGAGAUACAGCUUUUAUACUGGUUUUAUUUGUUGUGCAAUUCUGUCACAUUAAAAUGUGACUAUUCCUACAAAAGAAAGGACUUUUUCCAGAGCUUAGCAUUGCUGUAGAUUUUGUUUAACAAAUUGUAUGUACCAUUUUGAUAUCAGUGGAACAUGUAAUAAAAUGAAAUUUGG
ensembl:processed_transcript